GCCAAGGUCCACAGUGAGCCCCAGGGCGAGCAGAACAGGUGGAGACAGAAGGGCUGACCGGGUGCCGGGGUCCAGGGGCCAGUUUUACGCCUGGAUACUAGUCUAUGCCAGCCUAGGGAAAAGGAAAGGACAUCUGGAAUUAAUUCUGAAGGUGACAGACGGGGAGCUCACGGACAGCGCGGAAAACGGGAUGAAGCCCCAGGCGGUUUCUGACGUCGCCCGGGUUCUCUGCCCCGCAAGGUGCAAG
rnacentral:lncRNA from 1 species